GGCUUCGUGGUUGAGUGGUAAGGACGCUUACCUCCCACCCAGGAGUGCCGGGUUCGAUCUCCGGUCGAGGAACUA